CGGACGGAUGAGUAAUGUCUGGGAAACUGCCUGAUGGAGGGGGAUAACUACUGGAAACGGUAGCUAAUACCGCAUAACGUCGCAAGACCAAAGAGGGGGACCUUCGGGCCUCUUGCCAUCGGAUGUGCCCAGAUGGGAUUAGCUAGUAGGUGGGGUAACGGCUCACCUAGGCGACGAUCCCUAGCUGGUCUGAGAGGAUGACCAGCCACACUGGAACUGAGACACGGUCCAG
rnacentral:rRNA from 1 species